GAUGAAGAACGCAGCGAAAUGCGAUACGUAAUGUGAAUUGCAGAAUUCAGUGAAUCAUCGAAUCUUUGAACGCAUAUUGCGCUCUCUGGUAUUCCGGAGAGCAUGCUUGUUUGAGUAUCAGUAAACACCUCAACUCCCUUUUCUUUUUUGAAAUUGGAGCUGGACUUGAGUGAUCCCAACGCUUUCUUCCAAGAAAGUGGCGGGUUGCUUGAAAUGCAGGUGCAGCUGAACUUUUCUCUGAGCUAUAAGCAUAUCUAUUUAGUCUGCCUAAAAAACAUAUUAUUACCUUUGCUGCAGCUAACAUAAAGGAGACUAGUUCUUGUGCUGACUGAUGCAGGAUUCACAGAGACAGCUUCGGCUGACUUUGUAAACUCGAUCUCAAAUCAAGUAAGACUACCCGCUGAACUUAAGCAUACCAAUAAGCGGAGGA
rnacentral:misc_RNA from 1 species